rnacentral:ncRNA from 1 species
GCGGAAACGGCAGUAUUGAAGCUUCGGUGGAUUUACUGGACGUCGAGCGGCGGACGGGUGAGUAACGGCUGGGAACCUGCCCUGACGAGGGGGAUAACCGUUGGAAACGACGGCUAAUACCGCAUAAUGUCUACGGACCAAAGGUGGCCUCUGCAUGUAAGCUAUCGCGUUGGGAUGGGCCCAGUUAGGAUUAGCUAGUUGGUAAGGUAAUGGCUUACCAAGGCGACGAUCCUUAGCUGGUUUGAGAGGAUGAUCAGCCACACUGGGACUGAGACACGGCCCAGACUCCUACGGGAGGCAGCAGUGGGGAAUAUUGCACAAUGGGGGAGACCCUGAUGCAGCCAUGCCGCGUGUGUGAAGAAGGCCUUCGGGUUGUAAAGCACUUUCAGCAGUGAGGAAGGUGGUGUACUUAAUACGUGCAUGGCUUGACGUUAGCUGCAGAAGAAGCACCGGCUAACUCCGUGCCAGCAGCCGCGGUAAUACGGAGGGUGCGAGCGUUAAUCGGAAUUACUGGGCGUAAAGCGCAUGCAGGCGGUUUGUUAAGUCAGAUGUGAAAGCCCGGGGCUCAACCUCGGAACCGCAUUUGAAACUGGCAGGCUAGAGUCUUGUAGAGGGGGGU